rnacentral:tRNA from 1 species
CGGUUAGCUCAGUGGUUAGAGCGCUUGCUUCACACGCAAGAGGUCACUGGUUCAAGUCCAGUACCG